rnacentral:rRNA from 1 species
GCGCACCAGUCGAGAAACCUCCGCAAUGCGGGAAACCGCGACGGGGGACCCCGAGUGCCGUGGCAACGCCACGGCUUUUCCGGAGUGUAAAAAGCUCCGGGAAUAAGGGCUGGGCAAGGCCGGUGGCAGCCGCCGCGGUAAUACCGGCGGCCCGAGUGGUGGCCGCUAUUAUUGGGCCUAAAGCGUCCGUAGCCGGGCCCGUAAGUCCCUGGCGAAAUCCCACGGCUCAACCGUGGGGCUUGCUGGGGAUACUGCGGGUCUUGGGACCGGGAGAGGCGGGGGGUACCCCUGGGGUAGGGGUGAAAGUCCUAUAAUCCCCAGGGGGACCGCCAGUGGCGAAGGCGCCCCGCUGGAACGGGUCCGACGGUGAGGGACGAAGGCCAGGGGAGCAAAACCGGAUUAGAUACCCCGUGUAGU